AGUGAACGCUGGCGGUAGGCCUAACACAUGCAAGUCGAACGGCAGCACAGUAAGAGCUUGCUCUUACGGGUGGCGAGUGGCGGACGGGUGAGGAAUACAUCGGAAUCUACUUUUUCGUGGGGGAUAACGUAGGGAAACUUACGCUAAUACCGCAUACGACCUACGGGUGGAAGCAGGGGAUCUUCGGACCUUGCGCGAUUGAAUGAGCCGAUGUCGGAUUAGCUAGUUGGCGGGGUAAAGGCCCGCCAAGGCGACGAUCCGUAGCUGGUCUGAGAGGAUGAUCAGCCACACUGGAACUGAGACACGGUCCAGACUCCUACGGGAGGCAGCAGUGGGGAAUAUUGGACAAUGGGCGCAAGCCUGAUCCAGCCAUACCGCGUGGGUGAAGAAGGCCUUCGGGUUGUAAAGCCCUUUUGUUGGGAAAGAAAAGCAGCAGGUUAAUACCCCGCUGUUCUGACGGUACCCAAAGAAUAAGCACCGGCUAACUUCGUG
rnacentral:rRNA from 1 species